AUACGAAGGGGGCUAGCGUUGUUCGGAAUCACUGGGCGUAAAGCGCGCGUAGGUGGAUCAAUUAGUUGAGGGUGAAAUCCCGGGGCUCAACCUCGGAACUGCCUUCAAUACUGUUGAGCUUGAGACCGAGAGAGGUGAGUGGAAUUCCUAGUGUAGAGGUGAAAUUCGUAGAUAUCCGGAAGAACACCAGUGGCGAAGGCGGCUCACUGGCUCGGUACUGACGCUGAGGUGCGAAAGCGUGGGGAGCAAACAGGAUUAGAGACCCGAGUAGUCC
rnacentral:rRNA from 1 species